GAUGAACGCUGGCGGCGUGCCUAAUACAUGCAAGUCGAGCGAACGGACGAGAAGCUUGCUUCUCUGAUGUUAGCGGCGGACGGGUGAGUAACACGUGGAUAACCUACCUAUAAGACUGGGAUAACUUCGGGAAACCGGAGCUAAUACCGGAUAAUAUUUUGAACCGCAUGGUUCAAAAGUGAAAGACGGUCUUGCUGUCACUUAUAGAUGGAUCCGCGCUGCAUUAGCUAGUUGGUAAGGUAACGGCCUACCAAGGCAACGAUGGAUAGCCGACCUGAGAGGGUGGUCCGCCACCCUGGGAAUGGGACCAGGGCCAGACUCCUACGGGGAGCAGCAGUAGGGAAUCUUCCGCAAUGGGCGAAAGCCCGACGGGGCAACGGCGCGUGAGGGAUGAAGGUCUUCGGAUCGUAAAACUCUUUUAUUAAGGAAGAACAUAUGUGUAAGUAACUGUGCACAUCUUGACCGUUCUUAAUCAGAAAGCCACCGCUAACUUCGUGC
rnacentral:rRNA from 1 species